rnacentral:rRNA from 1 species
UACAGAGGGGGCAAGCGUUAUUCGGAAUUAUUGGGCGUAAAGGGCGCGUAGGCGGCUUUGCAAGUGACGGGUGAAAUCCCUCGGCUUAACCGAGGAACUGCCUGUCAGACUGUAAGGCUUGAGACCGGGAGAGGUGAGUGGAAUUCCCAGUGUAGCGGUGAAAUGCGUAGAUAUUGGGAGGAACACCAGUGGCGAAGGCGGCUCACUGGACCGGUACUGACGCUGAGGCGCGAAAGCGUGGGGAGCGAACAGG